CUUCCAUGGAAGAGUAAACUGAUAUAUUAAAACACUAAAGAAAAACUGUUAAAGCAAAGCAUUGAUUUAUCUUUUGUGGUAAACUAACAAACUCUUUAGGUAAUUAAGGAAUUCUUUUAGUUGGAUUCAACUUUGUACAUAAGGUAUUUUGGGAGACUAUAUCCUGAAAAUAUUCUUCUUAGGUAGCCCUUUGGAUGAAUUAUUUCUUGAAAUAACAAUAUAAUUCUGUGUAGCAGAAGUAUGUAAGUGUUGGCUUCAUGUAGCAUUUCUAUUUAAUAUGAUGCAUUCAUUUUUAAUAUAUAGGUCAUAUAGCUUUUAGAAUAUAGCUAUCUCCUAAGCUUCUUGACAACAAAUUUGAGUAUUUAGCUCCAUAAUAGAAAAUAAAUCUUUACUUUAAAAUAAGUGCCUUUUUAUG
rnacentral:lncRNA from 1 species